rnacentral:ncRNA from 1 species
CUGAUGGGCGCGUCCGGGUCAAUUGCGGUAUGCAACACCCGAUCUCUCUCCACGUUCCAGACAGUCUGGACGUGGCUCAGGGAGAGCGCGUGACCGUCAG